rnacentral:rRNA from 1 species
GCUUGUCUCAAAGAUUAAGCCAUGCAUGUCUAAGUGUAAGCAAUUAUACAGUGAAACUGCGAAUGGCUCAUUAUAUCAGUUAUAAUUUACUUGAUAGUUCCUACUACUUGGAUACCCGUAGUAAUUCUAGAGCUAAUACAUGCGAGAACCCCUGACUUUUAGGAAGGGCGUAUUUAUUAGAUACAACCAACCCCGCAAGGGUCCUGGUGAAUCAUAAUAACUGAGCGAACCGCAUGCUUCGGCGGCGGUGGUUCAUUCAAGUUUCUGCCCUAUCAUGCUCUCGAUGGUAGUGUAUUGGACUACCAUGGCUCUCACGGGUAACGGGGAAUUAGGGUUCGAUUCCGGAGAAGGAGCCUGAGAAACGGCUACUACAUCUAAGGAAGGCAGCAGG